GUAAAACUGAAAUAGCCACUGCUGUCAAACUAAAUGGCACAGGGGAAAGUUGUCUCACCCUUUUCUUUCACAUAUGAAGACCUCCUUAGUCUUGAAAAAUAUUCUACAAUCGUUAAACAGCAGGGCACUGCAGCAGAUGGAGUGUCUGUUUCCCAAGUCGCGUGUUGGCCGUGUGAUCAGUGUGACCAUCCCACCCAUGCAAGCUGAACAUAGUUAAAGCCACGAUCCAGAGCUCCAAAUACAAGAAGGUUCAAAGCGAAUAAAAAGAAUCCGAAAAUGGAAAUGCUAUCAACUGAACAUUUUCAGCAGAUUCUACUAGUAUAAGGAAUAUCCAAGGAUAGAGGAGGAAAUCUGCAGAUGCUAGAAAUUCAAGCAACACACACAAGAUGCUGGUGGAACGCAGCAGGCCAGGCUGCACCUAUAGGGAGAAGCACUGUCGACGUUUCGGGCCGAGAACCUUCGUCAGGACUCAGGACAGUAUUGUUUUAUUCUUCUUGCUCAGCUGAAGUUUUAAUGUGGAUCAUGCACUUCAGACUGGGAGUGGAUUAAAAUGCCUGUCAAUAUGAGCAAAUUUAGUGAGAGCAGAUCCCCUCAAUUAUAAGUGCCAGUCCACUCUGUCUCCUGUGAGAAGAACAAGUCAGUAUUCCCCUUAUUUAUUACAGGAUGCUCCAGUGUUCUUCUUUGAAGGUAGUCUUGAGAAAAUGUACAUUUUUAUCCCUGCUUUGCUUGCGUAAUGCCAAUUUAUUUGAAUAAUCAAAGUGUUUGCUCAAAGUACUGGUGGGGCUGAUAUAGUUUCCCAGUUCCUCAGCAAUUAGCUUAGAUUAGAUUAAGUUAAGUUUAUUGUCUUAUAAACCAGGGUGCAAUGUAUUUGUCUGGCAGUACACUUCAGAUGAAAGGGUUGUGCGAUAGUGAAAAACUGAGCGGCCUGGGCCUAUGUUCAAAGGAGACUGGUAGAGAGAAUGACAAACACAAGAGAUUCUGCAGAUUCCGGAAAUCUUGAGCAACACACACUAAAAGCUGGAGGAACUCAGCAAAUCAGGCAGCAUCUUUGGAGGGAAACAAAUGGUUGACGUUUUAGGCUGAGAUUUGAUGAAGGAUCUAGGCCCAAAAUGUCAACUGUUUACUCCCUUCUGCCCAAUUUGCUGAGUUCCUCCAGUAUUUAGCAUGUGUUGGAAGAAAGUAUGGCUAUAUGACUGGAAUAAAAGAUUCUGAUAAACUGCACAGGGUUGAUAUGGAGAAAAUGUCGAAAUCAAGCACAAUUUCAGUAAAAUUACCAAUUUAAAAUAGAGAUGACAAAGUAUUUCUGAUCUUUCAUGAAUUUUGUUGUAAAUAUUCUACCCUGCCAAAGCUAUAGAAACCAUAUCAUAGUGUGUAUUCAAAGCCAAAGAUCACUUAUAUACCAUUGGGAACUUAAGUGAACCUUCUUUACCAAGAAUGGUUAAAAUGUGGCACUCACAAUAGUUGGAAGAAAGUAACUUUGGUACAGUUAAGAAAUAUGACAAAUCCAUGAGGGUCAAAGGAGGAAAAGAGAAAAAAAUAGUAGAUGUGGGUUUAGUUGUCCCAUUUAGUAAGAGAAUUCUGGAUAGGUACAUGGAUGGGGUGAUAUGAAGGGCAAUGGUCUGGGUGCAGGUCGAUGGGACUAGGCAGAAAAAUGGACUGAAGGGCCUGUUUCUCUGUUGUAUGCACUAUGGCAGAGGCUCCCAAACUGUGUCCAUGGACCCCUCAGUUAAUGAUAGGGGUCCAUGGCAUAAAAAAGAUUGAGAAACCCUGCUCUAUGGCUUUAUGACUCUACGACUGCAUCUAAUGACACUGCAGUUUACACUCUAGUGUGCUGUGAAUUCUUUAGCUUACUGAAGUUUGAGAAGUAUUAUUAUUGACAGAAUCAGAACUCUUUCCUUCAAUUCCAUUUUUCUGCCUAUUGCCCAAAAUCUUGAUUUUCCUACAAAAAACACAAGUGUGUUAAGCCAGCUGCUUGCUGUGACUGAGCACUCACGUCUUGUGUAGCCCAGCUGGGGAAGAAUGUUGCUGUCACACAUUUAAGUAACAAUGCAGAGAGCGCCCUUCCAAUCCAAGAGCAACAUUUUGAGAAUUCAGAGUACAGAUCUGAGGUCAAGAAUUAUGGAUGGAAGAAUGUCAGAAUAGGAGAAGAAAUGGGCAAUUAGAGCAUCUUAGGUCUGCUCUGCCACUCCGUCAAUUCAUGGUUGAUCUGAUCAGCACUGAAGGAGGCCUUUUAUCUCAACAGGUACACAGCCAUAUGAUCCUCUUUCCCUUAAAGUCAUAAUGUAAAACAAAGCAUUACAGCACAUCUACUCCAUGUGUUCCAGAUCUUCUGCCUAGUCUAGUUUGGUGCUGAAAUAUUCCUAUUGGAGUUAGGAUCUCGAACAAGGUGUCAGGGGUGGUCUUUUAAACCUCAUGGAUAGGAACAUUUUCUCACUGAGGCUGGUGAAUUGCUGUAAUCCUCUGCCUGGAUAUUUGUGGAGUCUAGAUCAUUAGGAGCAAAUAUGACUCCUAAUUUCUUAUCGUCUUAUAUUCCUAUUUUCAGUCUUGUCUGAACCUUCAUGUAUUGGUGGACUUUGUCCUAGGCAUGCAAGGCUAAUCCCUUACCACUGUUCUACAGCCAAGAUGUGUGCAUGAAUACUCAUGCAUUUUCUCACUGUCAAUGAGAGGGGUAGGGUAAGGAUACAGAAGGUUUUUAAAAUUAUUAGUCAUUAUAGCAAUACUUCAAACUGUUUGACAUUGCAUUGCAUAAAACUUGUAGCAUCUCUUCUUUAAUUUGGCCGCUUAUUGGUUUCAAAUGUAACUUGUUUCAUGACUGUUUCAGAGACUCUCAGUGGUCACUGGGUUAGGUACACCUGUACACCUGCUUAUUAAUGCAAAUUAAUCAGCCAAUUAUAUGGUAGCAACUCAAAGUAUAAAAGUACACAGAAGUUAUUAAGAUGUUCAUUUGUUGUCAUGACCAAACACCAGAAUGGGGAGGAAAGUGACUUUGAAUUGUGGGAUGUUUGUUGGUGCCAGAUGGGGCGGUUUGAGUAUCUCAGAAACUGCUGAUCUCCUGUGAUUUUCACACACAACAGUCUCUAGAAUUUACAGAGAAUGGUGCAAAAAACAAAACAAAAAAAAAACACCCAGUGAGCAGCAGAUCUCUGGACAAAACACCUUGUCAGAAAGGUCAAAGCAGAAUGGCCUGACUCGUUCAAGCUGACAGGAAGGCAGCAGUAACUCAAACAAUCAUCAGUACAGCAGGGAUGAGCAGAAGAGCACCUCUAAAUGCACAACAUGUUGAACCUUGAAGUGUGAGGGCUGCAACAGCAGAAGACCACGAAUGUACACUCAGAGGCCACUUUUUAUAUUACCAUCAACAGGUUAAUGAAGCUCAUGAUAAAUUGAUAAGUUCAAAGGCCCAGCAGCGGAUGUACUUCCUGCGGCUCUUGAGGAAAUAUGGUCUGCCUCAGGAAUUGCUGCCGCAGUUCUACACUGCAGUCAUUGAGUCUGUCCUGUGCACCUCCAUCACUGUGUGGUUUGGAGCCGCCACCAAGCAGGAUAGAACCAGACUACAGCGCACAGUGAGGACUGCCGAGCACAUCAUUGGAGCCUCCCUGCCCUCUAUUGUGGACCUGUACUCUUCCAGGUUGAAGAAGAGGGCGGGGAACAAAAUAAAGGACUCCUCCCAUCCUGCGCACAGACUGUUUGAACUGCUUCCGUCUGGUAGGCACUUCAGAUCCCUCCAGACUAAGACUAAUAGGCACUGGAGAAGUUUUUUCCCUACUGCGGUCACUUUGCUGAGCAGUUAACUGCCGGUUAACUGUCGGCUAACUAUUACUUGGAUUGCACUACCUGUAUGUAUAAUCUAUAUUUUCAUUUAUAUUUAUCAUUGUUAUUGUUAUGAGCAGAGAGACAACAUCUGCCGGAAGUAAAUUCCUUGUAUGUGCACAGGUACUUGGCGAUUAAAGUCUGAUUCUGAUUCUGAUUCCGGGGAGCUAGGGAAUUGAUAAAGGGAACUCAGGAAAGUAGGCAAAUCAGUAUUUGACAAAACUCGGCAUGGACCAAAGCAAAACACCUCACAAUGGAAGGACAAUGGAUGUGACAUGUAUAGAGUGGAAUAACCAAGGUGAACCAGAAAGAGUUCUGGGUGAUAAUGAAUUCCUAGCAUGCUUAGCAUGCCAAAUAACAUUUUCACAGCAAUGAACACAGUGAGCUGAAUGCCAAGUUACAAAGUGUUGGAUCAGUUCAUUGUAAAACACCAGGUUACAAUUGUGGCCAGUGCAUUGGCCAGAUACACCUUGAGUAGCACGUGGAGUCAGUAAGACAUGGGUUAUAUGCAGACCCAUAAUCUGACACCUGGUAUGAGAAGAAUGGAUUACACAAGAAAGGACGGAAGAAAGAGAGGAAAUUAAAAGGUUUUCACUGGAUGUUUGAGAAGGGUGCAUAUUGCUAUGAAAAGUAUUUCAUUUGCACGCAGCAGAGUGCCACAUGGAGCAGGAAUUUGCCUGCCACCCUUGUACUCUGUACUCUACCUUGAAUUGGAAAUAGGCAAUGCCUGGAUUUUAAAAUUUUGAUCUAUAUUACAAAAUCCCGUCAUGGUCUCAUCGGCCCUGUAUUUGUAAAUCCGUUCAGUUCUACAGCUUUUCAAGGAAGUGCCGCAGUAGCGUAGUAGUUAGCGUGUUGCUAUUACCAUAGGACAAUAAGACAUAGGAGCAGUAUUAGGCCACUCGUCCCAUUGAAUCUGUUCUACCAUUUCAUAAUGGCUGAUUUGUACAUUGUCACGGAACUCCAGGAAUUGUCAAUGUUGGACUGCACUUGAUGCAACCACAGCUGAUCCUGGUCAUCCUACACAGAGAAAUGCCAGUACUUCAGCAUAGUGGACUUAAGUGAAGCAGCUGUAAACCUGGGGUGAGCCAAAUGCAAAAGAUGCUAACACAUCUGGCGCCAGCUCCAUUUCUGGAGUCCACUCCAAACAUGCUCAGAUUCAACAGCAUUUAAGUGGAAAAUAGGAAAGUACAUGAAUGGGAAAGCAAAGACAUGCUGCUUUGAUUUGGAGAAGAGUGGUGGGAAGGGGCAUGAAAGCCAUUUGCUUUGACAUCAAUCUGUUGGGCUGAAAGGACUUCUCUUUGUACGGAAGUACCAUGGGGAACAUCAUGGCCUGGUAUGGAGGCACCAAUGCACAGGAUCGUUAGAGGCUUCUGGCGGAUGUGGGCUCAGCCAGCUCUACCAAGGGUGCAAGCCUUCCCGCCAUUGAAGACAUCAUCAAAAGCCUGUGCUUCAGGAAGGUGGCAUCAAACAUUAGGACCAUCUCUAUCCAGGACAUGCCCUCUUCUCAUGGCUACCAUCAGGAGCCCAAUGGCCCAUACUCAAUGUUUUAGGAAAAGUUUCUUCCCAGCUGCCAUCAGAUUUCUGAGUGGGAUAUGAGCCCAUGAACACUUUCUCACUAUUCCUCAUUUGUACUAUUUAUUUAUUCUAACUCAUAAUCAUUUGUUUUGCCUGUACUGUUCUCCUGCCAAACAAAUUCUGAUCCUUUGAUAGAAUUUCUAUGUAAAAACUAAAUGCCCCUACCAGCUUUUCCUCAUUCCUGAGUUCUUAUUUUCUUUCUAUUGAUCAUCCAGGAGACAGAACCAUGAAUAUUCUCUUACUUGUUUUUAAAGCUCUCAAUGGUUUGGGACCAGAGUACAUCACAGAAUGUCUUUCAUUUUAUAAUCCUUCCCGAGCUCUGAGCUUUUCUUCUGUUCGUCUCUUAAAUUCAGACAAUCUCUCCCAAAAGAAAAUUGACAGAUCAACUUCUUUUUAGCUACGUUCGUAAACUGUGAAACUCAAUACUAUAAGGGAUGCAGACUCAGUUGGCACUUCUAAGUGCCAGCUCAAAACCUGUUUUUUAACCUUGCUUUUAACUAACAUCUUUUCAUCUUUAUUUUUAUGUUUGCACUUUAUCCCAUUAUAAAGAACCUUGAACUACA